CUCAGGAAGUUGAUCUUCGACACAUGUCAAUGGAGGACAGCUUGACGAGAUCAGAUCAGCCUCGACCUCAGAUUGGUACUCUCUUCGACCAACCUAUGGGUAGCUCAAUCUCGAGAGUGGGGAGUAUCUAUUGUAGAUCUGUAGCUUUGCCUUAGCUUCUCUACAUCCUCGGCAUUGAUCGAGCCAUGGAAGAUGGUGAGUAUUAGAUUUUGGGCAUACAACAGAUGAAGAUCACUGGGCAUGACCUACCAAGUUGGUUGUAGUUCCAAUUUCUCGACCCACUCCUACUUCACCUCAUCCUCAGACGACCUACAAUAGCUCAUACAUAACCGACCUAUCUCAGCCAGCAAGAGGAUAAGUGCCUGCUCCACAGACUCUAGUACCUCAGCCACAAAUGAUCUAUAAUAGCUCAUCCAUCGUCGAGCUAAUCUCUACAUCAGAUCCAGCCCACCUUCCAAUUGAAAAAAUUCAGAUAAAGUGGAACUCCAUGAUCGAGUCUCCCAUAAAAAGAAAAUAUCUUCUCCGAAUCAAUCUGACGAUAAAUUCAAAAAUUAUCAAGACUCUGAGAUGGAUAUGACUCAAACUCCUCCCCUAUAAAUUAAGGCUCCAGAAUUUUUCAAGGUACGUAAUUAACUCCUCGCUCUCUCUUUUCAUUAUUCUCUAUCUCCUGAUUUAAACGUCAGAAAAUCUUCAUCAGAGAACACCACUCCUGAUGAGGACUUAUUUUACAGAUAUUCGGACAAAGCUCCAGCAGUGAUUUCACCUCGACCAUAUCUACCUUAGUGGCUGACCUCAGAUGAAGAGAUUGGUAGUAAUAUUACCCAUCACUAUCAGCUAUCUCCCGACCAAAUACCACCAUUAGUGAUCUCCACAACCAUCAACUACCAUCAAUAUCUCCACCAUACCUACCAUCAUUGACAAUCUUUAUCACAGCCACCAACACCAACAAUCCCUAUUGUUAUGCCUGAAAUCCAUCCUAAGCCGAAGGUGCUGGAGCGGGAUGACAUCCAGUGUGUUGACAAUGAUCGGACCUACAAGAAAAGUUCUCACUGGAGGUAGCUCC
rnacentral:lncRNA from 1 species